rnacentral:rRNA from 1 species
UACGGAGGAUGCAAGCGUUAUCCGGAAUGAUUGGGCGUAAAGCGUCCGCAGGUGGCUAUGUAAGUCUGCUGUUAAAGAGUGAGGCUCAACCUCAUAAAAGCAGUGGAAACUACAUGGCUAGAGUGCGUUCGGGGCAGAGGGAAUUCCUGGUGUAGCGGUGAAAUGCGUAGAGAUCAGGAAGAACACCGGUGGCGAAAGCGCUCUGCUAGGCCGCAACUGACACUGAGGGACGAAAGCUAGGGGAGCGGAUGGG